UCUCUGGAAGUCCAGUGGCUGUGACUCCACAUUCCCAAUGUCGGGGGCCCAGGUUCAACUCCUGGUUGGGGAA
rnacentral:tRNA from 1 species